rnacentral:rRNA from 1 species
AGGAUUAGCGGCGAACGGGUGAGGAACACGUGAGGAAUCUGCCUUCAACACUGGGAUAACUCCGGGAAACCGGGGCUAAUACCGAAUAUUGAAACAUAAGUGGCAUCACUGAGUUUUGAAAGAAUUUCGGUUGAAGAUGACCUCGCGGCCUAUCAGCUUGUUGGUGAGGUAAUGGCUCACCAAGGCGACGACGGGUAGCCGGCCUGAGAGGGCGACCGGCCACACUGGGACUGAGACACGGCCCAGACUCC